CGGAAGGUCCGGGCGUUAUCCGGAUUUAUUGGGUUUAAAGGGAGCGUAGGCCGGAGAUUAAGCGUGUUGUGAAAUGUAGACGCUCAACGUCUGCACUGCAGCGCGAACUGGUUUCCUUGAGUACGCACAAAGUGGGCGGAAUUCGUGGUGUAGCGGUGAAAUGCUUAGAUAUCACGAAGAACUCCGAUUGCGAAGGCAGCUCACUGGAGCGCAACUGACGCUGAAGCUCGAAAGUGCGGUAUCGAACAGGAUU
rnacentral:rRNA from 1 species